rnacentral:lncRNA from 1 species
CUUCAAUCGUUUUCAGCAUUUAGUGCCGCCAGCGGAAAUUUAAAGCUGUAGUAAUGGGCCCGGUAACCCAUAAAGAAAGCUAAGCCCAAAAUUGAAAACAUUGGGAAUAAUCACUGAACUUAACCCAAUAAAAGAUGGGCUUCUCUUGAGCUCUUGAUGAUAAAAGUUUUCAAAAACCCUAAUUUGAGGUUAGGGUUUUAGAUCUGUCUCUAAUAGCGCGCACACCCGAGAGAAGUAGAAGCGUCUUCGAUUGCAAGGGCGAAGAUGUUUCCCGGAAUGUUCAUGAGGAAGCCGGAUAAGGCGGAGGCGUUGAAGCAGCUCAAGACCCACGCGGCAAUGUUCGGAGUUUGGGUUGCUGUCAUUCGGGUCACACCUUACGUUCUCCAUUAUUUCUCCGAUAGCAAAGAAGAACUCAAGCUCGAACUCUAAUUUCCUUCACAGGUAAAAAAUUUAUAUGUUAACUAAACGGUGUUAUGGUCCAGUUCUCUGCCUACGCAGGAACUUUGUGUAUGUAUGUCUACGUAUGCAUCUGUAUUGAAAUGAAAUCGUUAUUAUUUUCUAUGAAUUAUGUAUAGUCUAUCUUGAUUACGAGCAAGACUUAUUUUUUUUAACUGGACUGAUUAUUUCAUGAUCAACUAUAGGUAAAAUUACAUAUUCGUUUCCUAGUGUGUGAUCAGACGUGCUUGAAUAAGGGGAUGCAGAUGACUCAUUUAUUUGUAAACCAAUCUAAUUUAUAGGUAGGUGGUAUCUUGUUUUGAGAUGAACUUGUUACUGGAAUUAACGUGAAAAAAGGGAUUUGCUAGACUGUUGGUUUUCUGGUCUUGUAUAUAAUGUGCUUUUUUGGACGAUAAAGGUUUGUAUUCCUAAGAUGCAAAUAUUGCCUAAUCAUUAUCUUGUUAUUGGAGGUGAAAUGGAAGUUUGUGCUUUGGACUGCCGCCCUAACGGGGGAUUUUUCUAAAUGGUCUAUCACUAUUCAUUUUUGCUAAAAUGCCUAUAUUACCCUUAAUGAAAUGGCUUGUCAUAUUUUGCACAAAAUAUCCUAAUUUAUUGGAAUGUUCCAAAAUUCUUCUAUUUCUCUUAUUUCGAAUUUUAAUAUAUAGUUUCAUCCUUUGAUCUAGUAAAUUAGUAUAAUCUGUAAUAUAAUUGUCAUAUAAUUCUUUAAGAUUAUCAUAUUCCUUAGAUGAUAUAUCCAUAGUCUCUCGUUGAGAAAAAAUAUUUUUUAUUUUUUCUAAUAGUAUUUCUAACAGAUUAUCUAAUCUUUUAAUUGUAUAGCCUGGCAUCAUAUAGAUAAUUCCUUACAAGCUUUAUGAUAAAUAAUAAUAACAUGAUAGAUAAGUUUUUGCAAACAUGUUAAGUAAUAAUCCCUACGAUUCUUUCAAGAUAUUAAAAGAAUUCUUUCUAAAUUUAACAAAGACAAUAAUUUUACCUUACUUUUGAUCUUAAAUCUGCAUUCUUAGAAUCGAGUGACCUUCAGGCUCUGAAUCUGCAAACUUCUCCCCCAAACGGCCUUUUGCCUUAAUGGGAAUUUUGCUAUUUCAGCUUCUUGCCUUCACUGUAUCUUUUCUUAGAAUUAAGUAUAAGGAUCUUAAGUAGAGAAAAUUCUCUCUUUGUUAAAGUAAAAAAGAAAUUAUCUUCUUUAAUCUGUCAAGAAUCUACGGGAUAGGAAGUUUAGAAAAUCAUAUUUUUCUUAUAUCAAAAGAUUGGAAUUUUAUUUCUAUAAUGAUUUAUACAAGAUUUCUAUUGUAUACAAGGGAGUUAUCAGAAAAACUGGUUUUAAAGAAAGCUUAGGAAAAGAGAAUGGUUUCUAACUCGAGAUGAUCCAUUCUUUCCCCAAAGACCUCCAUUUAUACAUGACUCAAACUUGCUAUUAUUGGUCUAUUACAUCAUUGCAUAUAUCAGAAUUUGAAAAGGCUCACAUGCCUCUCUAUUCUUUUCCUCCUGGGGUCUACAUUUUCACAUGCGUUUUUUACUUUUUCAUCAAAGGGGCAUCUUUUCCUCUAUUAUUGUCGCUACAUCUUUGGCUCCAUAUGCAACUGGCUAGAUGCUUUGGUAGUGGUAGGUCCCUAUCUUUUAUCAAUCUUUUUAGUCUUGUUUGCGUGUGGGGCACUCCCUCAAUCUGCAUGAUUCUUGAAUUGUUGUAGGACUUCCAUUAAUUCGAUGAGUAUCAAAUUUCUGGUUAUAUUCUUUCAAAAUAGUAGAUUCUUCUUUUCCAUUAUUCAUAAGGAGUGUCCAUCCUUCAUUUGACAUAAGCAUCUGAAUUUUUUAUCAUAUA